rnacentral:lncRNA from 1 species
CAAGCUUGUAGCGUCAUACCCAAGAAGACGUGAGGCUGUAAUCGCUGCCAAAGGCGCUUCAACAAAGUACUGAGUAAAGGGUCUGAAUACUUAUGUAAAUGUAAUAUUUCAGUUUUUGUAUUGUACUAUCAUUACUGUACCUUGCCAGUACAGAGCUGCUAUUUUCACUGUGUCUCCAGCCACGGGGAUCCCUCAAAUUACCGUCUGGAUACUCUUUGUCUUCUUAUCGUCCUGGGGCAGAGAACCAACCGGAAUAAUCCCCUGGAAAGCACUGGUGUUACUCCUCUCCUCUUCCCUUCCCUUGCUUCCCCAAAUACAUAAUGUUAACAUCAGGGAUGCAAAGCUAGUCGCCUUUUGGCGAAAUUCGCCAUUUUGAAUCCAAAAUAGGUGACCUACGUGAUUUGUUUAGAUCCUAUGAGAAAAGUUUAGGCGAGGGGGGGGUUGGAUGAUUACAAACUGUAUGCGAACGAGUGAUGCGCGUUUGGAGCAAUACUGUCUGUAUCCAAGGCUCGGGCAAUCGUUCACAUGACAGAAUGCAGCACGCGACUGAAGAGACAUCCGCGCACGCUCUGGAAAGACUGCGGUAUGUGGUUAAUUUUCAGAAUGAGAGAAUUGGGUGAAAAUGAGGCGUUGCUUGUUAAAGAAGUGUAGCAGGAGCUGGGCCUGGUUUAAGCUGGAUGCCACUAUAGAGGUGAAAGGAACACCACACACUUUCCCUCUUUCUCACUUUUUCAAUACAGUGGAUAAAAGGCGGAUGCCAGGUGUAUUCUCUGCCUGAAAUAUCAAUUAUGCCAAGAAAGGGCAUCAUGCUCUGCUGGCACAUUGUAGAACAGAUGUCCACAGGCAGAAAGUGUACAAUGUAUUAAUGCAGUGUAGCCCAAAGAUAUUGCUUUUGUUGUGUUGAACUUGACAGUCAGUACCACAUAUUAAAUGUUGUACUCAGUGAAUGUUCUUUUUGCAUACAUGUAGCCUUGUGCACUUGAUCGAUGUCUAUAGUGGCCACUAUAAAAGAGCAAAAAUAGAAUGCCUGUUUGUUUCAUUCUAUUCCUGCUUAAGAUGUUUUUUUCCCAAGUGCAAUAUUUAGAUGUGUGUGGUCACAAGUGUUAAAUUAUAAAGGCUGUCAUGACUAACUGUAAUAUUAGUGUAUUGUUUUUUUCUCAAGACUUGAAUGUCAUUGGAUUGCUUUCUUUAGCCCUGGAUUGUAAACUGCCAUGGUCAAAACAUAUUGAUUCAACAGUAGCUAAGAUGGGGAGAAGUAUGUCCAUGAUAAGGCGCUGCUCUACCUUCUUGACAGCACUGUCAACAAGGCAGGUCCUACAGGCCCUAAUUUUGUUGCACCUGGAUUACUGUUCAGUCGUGUGGUCAGGUGCCACAAAAAAGGAUUUAGGAAAAUUGCAAUUGGUUCAGAACAGGGCAGCAUGGCUGGCCCAUUGAUGUACACAGAGAGCUAAUAUUCAUAAUGUGCAUGUCAAUCUCUCCUGGCUGAAAGUGGAGGAGAGAUUGACUUCAUCACUGCAUGUAUUUAUGAGACGUAUUGACAUGUUGAAUGCACCGAGCUGUCUGUUUGAACCACUGGAACACAGCUAUACAUACCCCACAAGACAUGCCACAAGAGGUCUCUUCACAGUCCCCAAGUCCAGAACAGACUAUGGAAGGUGCGCAGUAUUAAAUAGAACCAUGACUACAUGGAAUUCUAUUCCACAUCAAGUAACUCAUGCAAGCAGUAAAAUUUGAUUAAAAAAAACACCUUAUGGAACAGCGGGGACUGUGAAGCAAUACAAACAGGGACAGACACACACACACACACACGAUAGCAUAUGCACUAUACACACACACUUACACAUGGCUUUUGUACUGUAUAUAUGUGGUAGUGGUGGAGUAGGGGCCUGAGGGCUCACAGUCUGAAUGUAUUGUAAUGUUUUAAAAAUGCUAUAAACUGCCUUAAUUUUGCUGGACCCCAGGAAGAGUGCAGCUAAUGUGGAUCCAUAAUAAAUACAAAUUCUUUAAAUGUUUUAGCUGUGAGUUAGGUUCACAUUAAUCACUUUAUUUUACACACAGAGACUGACCAUGUAGAUCAUAUUCUUUGUUGUUUCAUUAGUUAAAACCUGCAUUUCCCCGUAGCAGGGAUUUUUUUUGUAUGUUUCAGUGCAACAGAAAAAGUGCCACCUUUAUGAGCCCUAAACCAGUUUGCAUCCCUGUAACAUAGCUUCUUUACUGCCAAUUCAGUCAGCGAGGACAUAUAAUAGGGAAAAUACUUUUGUUACUGUUUGAAAGCAGUGGUCCCCACAUGUUGCGGUUCAAGAACAUGGGUUCAUGAGAUCCCAUUCAUGUGGACUGUGACCUCAGUGUAGAGCCAGCUGCUGCUCUCAGCUCCGUUCCAUCUCCGACUGGUGCAUUGUUGUAUGAUUAAUGAUAUUAUAAGCAAGCUGAUUGCAAAUAGAAAAUCCCCUCUAUUUUAAGAAUGGCUUUAUACCAGUGGGGCCUCUGUGACAGUCAAUCAAGGCCUCCCUCAAGGAUUGAAAUGUUCUCAUACCAACCUGAAACUCAACUGUCACCAAAUUAACAACUGCCAAAUAAAUAUGACAUAGCUGACAUGAGAAGAAGUGACAUAUUAGGCCCGUCUGCUGCAUUGGUCGCUGGAAUAGUGACACAGCAUCAGCCUGUAAGACUGUAAUCCUUCUGAUAGGACCGUACAGCCCCCUGCUCUCCACCAAUCAAAAUCAAACGGGAACCCGACUGACAGUAAGAGGACAAUACAACAACAUCCCAAAAGUCCAUGUUAGUCUUGUCUUGUUCUGGUGAUGUGGUGUUUCUAUACUGAAGAGACAGGCAUCAGGGAGACAUACAAUAAAUACAUUGAUGGGGAUACCAGACUGGAACUCUCAGAAACAUCCUUUACAAAAGGCUAGAAAAACACAAAUGUUAUUAUGUUAUUUAUGAAACUGCUUUUCUACUGUUGGUUUGUGAUGAAAUCCCCAAAGGGUGUGUGGCGGAUGAAUCAGAAUUAGUUGGGUAACAUAGAUAAUUAAGAUGUUUUAUUUGCAUAAUAUGCUUAUGUGAGGUACUUGUCAUUAGAAUGUAUCCAUUUGGAUAAUGAAUGUUGGCAUUUGCACUUUUCCCUUAGCUGGGUCUCAGUCACUUGGGGCCCAGAGAAGGGAGAGGUCAGGCUUGUCUUUUACAUGUCCCUGGUGCUAUGCAGAAUAUCAGAAAGGGAAGAGGACAGGAUGGAACAUUGUCUUCAUAUGUGAAUGUGUCUUUACCUAUUCUUAAACCAUGUGAAGGGAUGGCGUGAUUAAUGUGGAACCAAUUAUUUGUCUCCACAAUGUCUGUGCGCAAGUCACUCCCCUCAGUGAGCUUGUCCAGAAGUGGGAUCAAGAGGGGGUUUACUUGAGAUGGGAGUAUCUAGAGUUGACAAUUGAUAUAUGCCAUUGGAUAAGUUGGUGUUUUUGUACUAUGAAGUACCAGGAAUGAGAUUAGAACCUCGUCUUAGAGACCAAACUGAAUGAUAAUUUAUAGCGAAUGUUAUCUGGCUAAGGGAUACUCCUUUCUCAAAUAUAAAGUCCCUUUGUGAACUGUUUCUAAGAUCUGUUGUUCGUCAUGUACGUUGAGAGGGGUGUAUCUUGGCUAUAAAAGAUCUUUGUACUUUUGUGUAGUCACUUUCAAUGGUUCAUUAGAGAUAGCGCAUCAUUGAAAGUCAAGUGCUUUUGCAAAAACUCUUAAUUAUUAAAGAUGUAGUUUAAGUAUAACUCUGACUGGUGUGUGAAGUUUGUAACUCUCUUCAUUUGGUAAUGCAGAAAUUAGCCACCACAGGUGACUUUGACAAACAUAGAGGACCUCUAACAGACUACCCAUCAUCAGACAAAUAGAUCCCUGCGUGCACAUAAAGGGUUCAACUACAUAGACAUCAACAGACACAUGCUGAAGGAAGAUAAUGUAGCCUCCUGAUGAGUAGACAGUUGACAAAACUUCAUUUUGAUUCAGUCAGACUGGAG